UUCGCUGUUUUGUCUCCUAGUUGAAUUCUUUUAGAAGAAGGGAAAAACCUCUUGAGAUGUGACUGUUUCCAUCUAUUUUCUGCUUGCCAGGAAAAGAAUACUUGAGAUCCAUUUGUAAGGAAAGAAAAGGAAGCAACAACAUAAUGCCCAGAGUUGGAGCCAAUUAAACCAGGCUGGAGUGCGGUGGCGUGAUCUUGGCUCACUGCAACCUCUGCCUUCCGGGUUCGAGUAAUUCUCCUGCCUCAGCCUCCCAAGCAGCUGGGUCUACAGUGAGACUAAUUACAUCCUUCAAUGAAGUACCAUUUUGUGAGAAAGUGAGAAUUCAAUGAUUUAUGAAAAAAUCCAAGAAGGAGAAACAAACAUUUUCUAAUAUGAAAGUAGUAAUGACUACAGCUAUAUAAAUAACAGUAACAAAGAGUAAACAUUGCUAUCUUCAGAAAUUAAGGAAUGAGAGGCAAGGAAGAAA
rnacentral:lncRNA from 1 species